rnacentral:misc_RNA from 1 species
AUAAAUUGAAAUUAGCUACAAUUAUGGUUAAUCAAUCAAUUCCAAUUCAUCUGCUGGCCAAACUCUAAAUUGCAAUUCCGGCUCGGAACCAAUCCAGACCGAACCGGUGGUCAGACCUACUAUUUAAUAUAAUAAAAUAUUAAUAAUUGUUUUGGAUGCAAAAUUAUUUUUUAAAAAAAUAAAAAUGCAUGUCGCAGUGGGAGAGAAUAUUAAUACCAGUUCCUGCCUAUG